GCGCUCGAGUGGCGAACGGGUGAGUAACACGUGAGUAACCUGCCCUUGACUUUGGGAUAACUUCAGGAAACUGGGGCUAAUACCGGAUAGGAGCUCCUGCUGCAUGGUGGGGGUUGGAAAGUUUCGGCGGUUGGGGAUGGACUCGCGGCUUAUCAGCUUGUUGGUGGGGUAGUGGCUUACCAAGGCUUUGACGGGUAGCCGGCCUGAGAGGGUGACCGGCCACAUUGGGACUGAGAUACGGCCCAG
rnacentral:rRNA from 1 species